UAACCGUGGGCAGUGAACAUGUGGGCCGCGUUCCAAUUCUACUGAAGUGUGGAGAAGAGGAUGUUCGAUUUGCCGAGUCUGUGCGUCGACGCCGAACGAGAAAUUUCAAGCUACUCGUUCGUUAACGAUGUACACGCGCAUGCUGCCAUUUAUCCUAAUCAAAUGUAAACACGAGACAGGUCCAUGAUGUUGCCAGUGAACGAAACUGGAGAUCCUGUACCGUACGGACUCCAAUUUAAACCAAACACGGAGACCUAUAUUACCGAAACUGCUUCAAGAAUGCGAUGCUCAGGGUUCCCCGUCGAAUUCCACCGGGCAAGAUACCGAAGGCUGAUGCAAGAUGGACACAUUCGAUUGAUUUCGCCGGGGAAGAGUCGAGCAGCCCAUGCAGGGCCCCGGCGGAGAGAGAUGCACGGAGAGGCCGCGGCUGGGAACGGAGCCGGGCAGCGAGAGGCUGCGGGGGAAGUGGAUGCCAGGCCGCGUGUGUUGAUGCAAGUGCGG